rfam:Oryza glumipatula chromosome 4, whole genome shotgun sequence.
AAAAAAGCAAACCGUGAAUUUUCGUGCCAAUGUUUGACUGUCCGUCUUAUAUGAAAUUUUUUUAUAAUUAGUAUUUUUAUUGUUGUUAGAUGAUAAAACAUGAUUAAUACUUUAUGCGUGACUUAUCUUUUUAAUUUUUUUCAUAAUUUUUUUAAAUAAGACCGACGGUCAAACGUUGGACAUGAAAACCAGGGUUUGUCUUUUU